AUACGUAGGUGACAAGCGUUAUCCGGAUUUACUGGGCGUAAAGGGCGUGUAGGCGGUCUUGCAAGUCAGAAGUGAAAUUCCUGAGCUCAACUCGGGCGCUGCUUCUGAAACUGCAGGACUUGAGUGCUGGAGGGGAUAGCGGAAUUCCUAGUGGAGCGGUAAAAUGCGCAGAUAUUAGGAAGAACACCGGUGGCGAAGGCGGCUAUCUGGACAGUAACUGACGCUGAGGCGCGAAAGCGUGGGGAGCAAACAGGAUUAGAUGCCCGGGUAGUCCACGCCGUAAACGAUGAAUACUAGGUGUAGGGGGUAUCGACUCCCUCUGUGCCGCAGUUAACACAAUAAGUAUUCCGCCUGGGGAGUACGGCCGCAAGGUUGAAACUCAAAUGAAUUGACGGGG
rnacentral:rRNA from 1 species